GACGAACGCUGGCGGCGUGCUUAACACAUGCAAGUCGAACGGAAAGGCCCUGCUUUUGUGGGGUGCUCGAGUGGCGAACGGGUGAGUAACACGUGAGUAACCUGCCCUUGACUUUGGGAUAACUUCAGGAAACUGGGGCUAAUACCGGAUAGGAGCUCCUGCUGCAUGGUGGGGGUUGGAAAGUUUCGGCGGUUGGGGAUGAACUCGCGGCUUAUCAGCUUGUUGGUGGGGUAGUGGCUUACCAAGGCUUUGACGGGUAGCCGGCCUGAGAGGGUGACCGGCCACAUUGGGGCUGAGAUACGGCCCAGACUCCUACGGGAGGCAGCAGUGGGGAAUAUUGCACAAUGGGCGGAAGCCUGAUGCAGCAACGCCGCGUGCGGGAUGACGGCCUUCGGGUUGUAAACCGCUUUCGCCUGUGACGAAGCGUGAGUGACGGUAAUGGGUAAAGAAGCACCGGCUAACUACGUG
rnacentral:rRNA from 1 species